AAACCCUAAUAGACAACUUCAUCGUCGCUUUCAUUCUUCUGAAUUCAUCUUUGUGUUUUCUUCACUCCAUUGAAGCCGCUUAUUCGAUUCUUUGAAGGAAUUUUCCAUCUUCAAGAUCCAAUUGUCUACAAUUGUGUGUGGAAACCCAGAUCCGAUUCUCCAUGGCUGGUUGCUUCUUGAUUCUUCUUUUCUAUGGUGUUUUCAGCCCUUUGAUUGGUGUUUUUACAGAUCCGUUGGAAAACAACGGCCCUGAAGAAGAUUCUUCGGAGCUUAUAGAUGGGUUGGGGCUGGUGAGGGCGAAGAUUAUUACAUCUGCAGAAUUGUGGAAAUGUUUGAAGGAGUGGAUGGAGAACCAUAUUUUUGUGCUCAGUGGUUUUAUAGGGCCAAAGAUACGGUCAUUCAAGAUUGUUCUAACUUCAUCGAUGAUAAGCGCAUUUUUCUUUCUGAAAUGAAGGAUGACAAUCCCCUUGAUUGCCUUACAGAAAAACUUAAAAUAGUGUGGGUUACUCUAGAUGUCGAUAUGGCUACCAAGAGGGCCAUGCUUGCAAAUGGAGACUAUUAUCUGGUACCAUUUUCAUCAUACCAAAACUUACCACCUGAUAACGACGCAGAUGGAAAUGAGUCUAAUUCAACCAUAUCUUCGGAGUCUGAUUCUAAUCUAUCUGUCACUAAGGUAUCCAAAACUAAAGAAGACAAAAAAAACCUAUGAUGAGGAUGCUUGAUCUCUAUUCAGGAUGCGGUGCUAUGUCUACUGAUCUUUGUUUGGGUGCUAAUAUGGCAGAUGUUAAUCUUGUCAUGAGAUGGGUUGUGGAUUUGAAUAAGUAUGCAUGUGAAAGCUUAAAGCUGAAUCAUCCAGAGACAGAGUCAUUUUGUAUCUCCAGGUUCAGAAGAAGUCAUGGGAGCCCUAAAAACGGCCUUCUCCAUCACUACGGUUGUCAGUAGUUCGUUUUGUCGCUGCCGAUCCAACUAAUUCAACAACCGUAAGAUUUUGAUUUCUAGCCAUAUUUCAAUACUACGUUUUAGUGUCUUAGGGUGUUUCAUUAUAAUCUCGGCGGCAUUUCAGUCUGGAAACAUGGUUACGUACUAGGUUGCGACUGUGAAAAGAAGAAAAGGAGAUUCCGGCCAACUGUAUCCUAUUUUGUUAUCAAAAUUAGUGCGAAUACUCAGCAUGAUCCUGCUGAAGAUGUGUCCUCAAAAGAUGAACACAUUGAAAGCCUUCCCAGUCACGUAUUAUUCUUUAUGUAAAAUUGUCAAAUAGACGAUGGAUAUUCUUACUUUCACACUUCUGAUCACAAUUCGUUUUCUUUAUACUUAUGUGUUGUUGAUAAGCCAAGCAAACUCACGAAAUACCUCCCUUCUUUAAAUAUAAUAGUCGAACAAAGUAAGACCCAAAAAACCACAUACCCUUCUCAAGGUUGGUGUUAUAUUGUAAGUUUCUAACACAUUUGAUGCUUUUGACUCUUUUAAAGACAACUUUUCUUUAAUUCCCAUUGGAGUAGCAAACUUUAUUUUAACUGAUUUUACGCGUAUAAGUUGUUGGUUUGGUAUCGGUUGAGGCCCCGUUUGAGCCACCUUAGAUCAUAUGUUGGCAUAAAAAAACAAAAAAAAAAUAAAUUUUUGGGUUUAAAUAAGUUUUUUAAUUUAAAAGUAAUUCUUAUGUACGAUAUAUACAUAUAUGUAUUAUAAUGACACAUAAGACCAUAAUCGUAUGAGUCCAGAAGUGCCACGCCCAAUUAGGAAGCAAGCCGAAGUUUUUGACUAUCCAAAACUUUUGAUCACCCCUAUAUGUUUAUGAAUAUUUAAAAGAUGAGAUACCAUGUAUAUAUGCAGUUACUUGGUGGAAUUCGUAUGGGAACUUGGAUAUCCCCAUGAAAGACAUGUUUAGUAUUAUAUAAAUGCUUGAGCAGAGAUACAGGGGUGAGGAAACAUUGAUAUGUGGGGAUGAAAGUGGUUGGUUGGAUUAUGCUUUUGUUUUCUAACUUGAUUGAUGUAAUAAAGUGAAAGCUAUAUUACAAAAGCUUAUAUGGGUAUUGCCUAUUGCUUGAGUAAGUGCAUUUAUGCAUAAAAGUCAUUGCUUAAUGUAUAAUGGUAACAUGAAUAAAACUGUCGGAGUUGCAUCAGGUGCAAAAUGAACAAAAUCUGCACCAGACUCAUCAUUUCCUGUCGUUCGGGAUCUAUCAACAGCAACAUUGUCUCCUUCGCAUAAGAAAUCAUUUCUAUCAAGGUAAGGUCCUCAAUAUCGAAUUGUUUUCAUUGCAUUUAAGACAUUUUUAAAUCGAAUUAUAUGGUAAAACAUCACGUCUAACUCCCUCAAGCAACUGAUAAUAGAUUUUAGAGAGAUAAUAGCGAAAUGGAUUUAGAUAGCAAGACAUAGGAUUGUGAAUGAUGGACUGAGGACAUACAAUAAAUUUGGAGUUUUCUUUAUACUCUCCUUUGGUCAAAAUUAUGUUCUCUCUUUGAAUUAGAUGUUAAUUUUCAAGGCUGGUUAAAUUUUUUCAUGAUUUUAAUGUACAAAGGAAAAAUGUUAGAAGAUUGAUGAUGUGAACUGGUAUUUAUAAUCUGAUAAUCACGUUAUUUACGUCAUCUCAUGAUAUAUGUCAUGUAUUGUUUGUCAAUUCACUUAUUGCGGUAACUAUGGAGGUUUAUGAAUGCAACUAACGUCAUAUACAACAUAGUGUAGAAAAUAAUUGUUCAUACAUGUGGUCUAACUGAAGGUUGGUGAAGAGCCAUUACCUGAGAGUUCUCUUUGGCUUCUUUUUACCGAAAAGGUAAAUUGUACUUAUGUACUUAAAUCUUUUUUAGUACCUGUAAUAAAGUAUUUACGCAUUAAAGUAUAAAUUGUUUGAUGUUUGGCCAAAAGGCCUUUUUUUUUUCUUCCAUCCAUUUCCACAUCUUUAUGAUUUUACCAUUUUAAUAAUCUUUUAUAUAACUUGCAUGUUUUAUUAAUUAAUGGAUGGAUUGGAAAUCUCACACAUGGAUUAGAUUUUACUAUUUUAACUAAUCUACAUUUGUUAUACUAACCAAUAUUUAUUUGCUUUAAAAGUAUGUAUAAAUAGUGUUAUUAAAUCAUACAGUUCAUUUAGAUUUGCCAAUGACGCUAUCGUUCUUUAAGGUGUUUCGUUACCGGUCUUCAUCUCAUUUGAUUUACCAAUUCAUUGUGCCAACAUUUAUUUUGAAAGCACAAUAUCAAGUGGUCAGGUACUUAUAUAGUAUGAGGGAAGUAAGUCAUAUAUAGUAUGAGGGAAGUAAGUCAUAUAAUAUAUUAUUUUAUUUUAUAUAAAUAUAUUAUUGUAUUGUUUUAAUUUCAAAAAAUGGUUAUGAUAUAUUCUAUUUUUUUCUUUGAACAACAUGCACUACCUCAUAUUCAUUAUGCAUUAUGCAUGCACAUGCCACCUGGUAAUAUAACCAUUCUCAAUAUUCAGUCUUUAAAGUAUAUUUAAUUAAUUAUAGUUUCACUUGAAUAUAUCACUUGGAAUGCAGGGAAGAAAAGUUAAUGUUAAAGCGCAAAUGGUUGUAUCCGGGUCCUAUACUUUCCUACUUCUAUAGAGAUGGAAAGAGUUAUUGUUUGACUUUUAAAGUCAAUCCUACCGACUUCCAUAUCUAAAAUUAUUAUUCAUUUCUUGAAUAAUUUUGUACCAAGACCUAUCCAUGUAUAGAAAAUAGCAUAAAGUAAAGUAGAUUAUCAAAAAAAUAUUAGAAACUAUGAUCAUUUUUUAUCCUAAUUUAAAGUUAUAAUUUAGAACUUUGACUUCAUAAGUCAACGUGUACCUUUUUUCUAAUCAUUUUAGUGUGAAAAGUAACUAAAUCUGGAAAUUUUUAUAUAGACGGAUAAAGCUUCAAUGUUAGAUGAAGUAAUAGACUACUUAAAGAAGCUUCAAGCACAUGUGCAAAUAAUGAAAAACAUGUCAGUUCCACAACAACAAAUGAUGAUACCGGUACCACUACAAUGAAGGUAUGAUCGGUCUGGUACUGUUGGUACGGUUAUCGGUCGAAGAUAGAAGCGAGGAAGUGAGUAGCAAACUCAUUCAUCUCAUCUGAGAACCCACUGUUGGUAAGCAAAAAUCAUCCUACAGAUUUAAAGAUUUCUUGAAUCUAAGCAUUUUGGGUUUUAACAACACUAUAAGAAAGAGCUACUUUUGCAUUAUGUGCUAAAUAGAAGAUUUUAAUAUGUGAAAGAGGUUAUUAGAGAUCCAUCAUUAUUAUUGGCUUAUGGUGGAUCUUUAAUAAGAUCAUUCAAUUGGUAAGAUAGAUUUAGUUUAAAAAAAUUAUGCUUGAUUUCUCCUAAACCAAUUUGGUUACUGAAUCUUAGUAGAACUUAAAAGGUUAUGGAACUAAUAAUUAGAUCUAAAGUAGUUAAUAUUGUGCUAACUUGCUAUCGCUUUCAAAAGUAUAAUGUGGAUUAUGUGGUCAUAGAAAUUAUGGUUUGAUAGGAAUUUUAGAAUUUCUCUAUUAUUGCUUCAAUAAGGUGCGUUUUUUUGUUGCUUAGAGACUUGAGUGCUAAUGUUUGUUGAAUUCGAAUGUUCUCUCUAUCAGAAUUUUGCUCUUAAUAUAUUAAUAAAAAAUCGAGCAAUAUGUUGCUUUCUUUUUGUUUGGGUCAAUCCGUUUUUGUCAAAAUUGCUACCUUAGUAAAAAACAGUGAUUCAGCGGGGUUAUAUUUCGCGUUUGAACAACAAUGUUACAAUGACUUCUAUUUCCCACACGUAUGCAAGUGAUUGAUCUAACAUUAUUAUGAUUAAACUCGAAUUCAAUCUGAUUGCUGAGUUGAUCAUUUUGAUAUAGGUUGAAUCUUGGUUCUAUGGCUUUUGAGUAACUCGAAUCUCAUCAGUAGUUUCAUGUUCAAUGAUUAAUUAGUAAGUUAUGUUUGAUAACAUGCUUUAAAAUUCUACAAGUACAAAAAGUGGUCACAUUACAUUUAGAAGAUAAAUGACUUUUUGUUGAUGUAA